rnacentral:rRNA from 1 species
GAUGAACGCUAGCGGCAGGCCUAAUACAUGCAAGUCGAACGGUGUAGCAAUACACAGUGGCGCACGGGUGCGUAACACGUAUGCAACCUACCUAUCAUUGGGGGAUAGCCUUUGGAAACGGAGAUUAAUACCGCAUAAGACAGUAGCAUGGCAUCAUGCAGCUGUUAAAGCUUUGGCGAUGAUAGAUGGGCAUACGUCCAAUUAGUUAGUUGGUGAGGUAACGGCUCACCAAGGCGAUGAUUGGUAGGGGAUCUGAGAGGAUAAUCCCCCACACUGGCACUGAGAUACGGGCCAGACUCCUACGGGAGGCAGCAGUAGGGAAUAUUGGGCAAUGGACGGAAGUCUGACCCAGCCAUGCCGCGUGCAGGAAGAAGGCGUUAUGCGUUGUAAACUGCUUUUUUAUAGGAAGAAGGAGACCUUGCGAGGUUUGGUGACGGUACUAUAAGAAUAAGCACCGGCUAACUCCGUGCCAGCCGCCGCAGUAAAAC